rnacentral:rRNA from 1 species
ACCUCGGAUCAGGUAGGACUACCGCUGAACUUAAGCAU